AUUGAACGCUGGCGGCAGGCCUAACACAUGCAAGUCGAACGAGUGGCGGAAGGGUGAGUAAUGUCUGGGAAACUGCCCGAUGGAGGGGGAUAACUACUGGAAACGGUAGCUAAUACCGCAUACAAUCGGAUGUGCCCAGAGGGUAUUAGCUAGUAGGUGGGGUAAUGGCUCACCUAGGCGACGAUACCUAGCUGGUCUGAGAAGCUGACCAGCCACACUGGGACUGAGAGACGUUCCAGGCUCCUACGGGAGGCAGCAGUGGGGAAUAUUGCACAAUGGGCGCAAGCCUGAUGCAGCCAUGCCGCGUGUAUGAAUAAGGCCUUCGGGUUUUAAAGUACUUUCAGCGAUGAGGCGUUACUCGAAGAAGAAGCACCGGCUAACUCCGUGCCAGCAGCCGCGGUAAUAC
rnacentral:rRNA from 1 species